rnacentral:rRNA from 1 species
ACAGAGGGUGCGAGCGUUAAUCGGAAUUACUGGGCGUAAAGCGCGCGUAGGUGGUUUGUUAAGUCGGAUGUGAAAGCCCAGGGCUCAACCUUGGAAUUGCACCCGAUACUGGCAGGCUAGAGUACGGUAGAGGGGUGUGGAAUUUCCUGUGUAGCGGUGAAAUGCGUAGAUAUAGGAAGGAACAUCAGUGGCGAAGGCGACACCCUGGACCGAUACUGACACUGAGGUGCGAAAGCGUGGGGAGCAAACAG